rnacentral:rRNA from 1 species
GGUUAAUAUAGUGAAAUBAGUUAUUUUUAUAAAAMUAAUUAUUUGURGGUGAAAUUUUAAAUUUUUUAAUAAAUAUACUUUUUGAGGCUAUGAAAUUUAUUUUAAAAACAAGGAUUAGAUACCCUUUUAUUUUAGAUGUUAAUUUUAACUUGGGUAGUAAUAGUUAUGUUCUUGAAACCCAAAGAAUUUGGCGGUAUUUUAGUCCUUUCAGAGGAACCUGUCCCUUAAUCGACAGUCCACGAGAAGAUGUACUUGUAUUUGUUUUCAGUUUGUAUACCUCCGUCAUCAGAGAAUCUUUUUAGAGUUUAAUUUUCUUAAUAUAUUAAAUAUAGUAUGUCAGGUCAAGGUGCAAUUUAUAUAUAAGUGGAGAUGGGUUACAAUAAAAUUAUUUAAACGGAUUGAAAUAUUUAAUUUUUCAUGAAGGAGGAUUUGAUAGUAAUUUUAAUAUUUUGUUAAUUUGAUUUUUGGCUCUAAAAUAUGCACACAUCGCCCGUCGCUCUCAUUAUUAAAAUGAGAUAAGUCGUAACAUAGUAGGUGUAUCGGAAGGUGUACCUGGUUAG